ACGUACAUGCCUACGAUGUAAUAUUAAUGCAUAGAAUCCAAUUAGAACUCAACAGUUAAGAAUGCUCCGUCUAGAGUAGUAUUGGGAUGGGUGACCACCCGGGAAGCCCUAGCAUUUUACAUG
rfam:Picea glauca, whole genome shotgun sequence.